rnacentral:rRNA from 1 species
GAUGAACGCUAGCGGCAGGCCUAACACAUGCAAGUCGAGGGGCAGCACAUAAAGUGGUUUACUACUUUUGGUGGCGACCGGCGGACGGGUGCGUAACGCGUAUGCAACCUGCCUCCAACAGGGGGAUAACGGAGAGAAAUUUCCACUAAUACCCCAUAAUAUCAGAAUCGGCAUCGGUUUUGGUUGAAAACUCCGUAGGUUGGAGAUGGGCAUGCGUUGUAUGAGAUAGAUGGUGAGGUAACGGCUCACCAAGUCAACGAUACAUAGGGGGACUGAGAGGUUAGCCCCCCACACUGGUACUGAGACACGGACCAGACUCCUACGGGAGGCAGCAGUGAGGAAUAUUGGUCAAUGGGGGCAACCCUGAACCAGCCAUGCCGCGUGCAGGAAGACGGCUCUAUGAGUUGUAAACUGCUUUUACAAGGGGAUAAAUCGGUGUACGUGUACACCGUUGAAGGUACCUUGGGAAUAAGGAUCGGCUAUCUCCGUGCCAGCCGCCGCAGUAA